rnacentral:rRNA from 1 species
UACAGAGGUCUCAAGCGUUGUUCGGAUUCAUUGGGCGUAAAGGGUGCGUAGGUGGCGGGGUAAGUCAGGUGUGAAAUCUCGGGGCUCAACCCCGAAACUGCACUUGAUACUGCCUUGCUUGAGUACUGGAGAGGAGAUUGGAAUUUACGGUGUAGCAGUGAAAUGCGUAGAUAUCGUAAGGAAGACCAGUGGCGAAGGCGGCUCACUGGACCAUAACUGACGCUGAGGCACGAAAGCUAGGGGAGCAAACAGG